rnacentral:rRNA from 1 species
UACGAAGGGGGCUAGCGUUGCUCGGAAUCACUGGGCGUAAAGCGCACGUAGGCGGCUUCUUAAGUCAGGGGUGAAAUCCUGGAGCUCAACUCCAGAACUGCCUUUGAUACUGAGGAGCUCGAGUCCGGGAGAGGUGAGUGGAACUCCGAGUGUAGAGGUGAAAUUCGUAGAUAUUCGGAAGAACACCAGUGGCGAAGGCGGCUCACUGGCCCGGUACUGACGCUGAGGUGCGAAAAGCGUGGGGAGCAAACAGG